rfam:Ovis aries breed Texel chromosome 14, whole genome shotgun sequence.
UCCCUGGUGGCUCAGACAUUAAAGAAUCUGCCUGCAAUGCAGGAGACCCUGGUUCAAUUCCUGGGUCAGGGAG